rnacentral:rRNA from 1 species
UACAGAGGGUGCAAGCGUUAAUCGGAAUUACUGGGCGUAAAGCGUGCGUAGACGGUUGCGUAAGUCAGAUGUGAAAGCCCCGGGCUCAACCUGGGAAUUGCAUUUGAGACUGCGUAGCUAGGGUGCGGAAGAGGGAAGCGGAAUUUCCGGUGUAGCGGUGAAAUGCGUAGAUAUCGGAAGGAACACCAGUGGCGAAAGCGGCUUCCUGGUCCAGCACCGACGUUCAGGCACGAAAGCGUGGUGAGCAAACAGG